UACGGAGGGGGCUAGCGUUGUUCGGAAUUACUGGGCGUAAAGCGCGCGUAGGCGGACCUGCAAGUCGGGGGUGAAAGCCCGAGGCUCAACCUCGGAACUGCCUUCGAUACUGCGGGUCUCGAGUCCGGGAGAGGUGAGUGGAAUUCCUAGUGUAGAGGUGAAAUUCGUAGAUAUCUGGAGGAACACCGGUGGCGAAGGCGGCAUCCUGGACCGGUAUUGACGCUGAGGCGCGAAAGCCAGGGGAGCAAACGGG
rnacentral:rRNA from 1 species